GAUGAACGCUGGCGGUAUGCUUAACACAUGCAAGUCGAACGGACUCUUCGGAGUUAGUGGCGGACGGGUGAGUAACGCGUGAGAAUUUGGCUUCAGGUCGGGGACAACAGUUGGAAACGACUGCUAAUACCGGAUAUGCCGAGAGGUGAAAGGCUUGCUGGCUGAAGAUAAGCUCGCGUCUGAUUAGCUAGUAGGCGGGGUAAAAGCCCACCUAGGCGACGAUCAGUAGCUGGUCUGAGAGGAUGAUCAGCCACACUGGGACUGAGACACGGCCCAGACUCCUACGGGAGGCAGCAGUGGGGAAUUUUCCGCAAUGGGCGAAAGCCUGACGGAGCAAUACCGCGUGAGGGAGGAAGGCUCUUGGGUCGUAAACCUCUUUUCUCAAGGAAGAAGAAAGUGACGGUACUUGAGGAAUAAGCAUCGGCUAACUCCGUGCCAGCAGCCGCCGUAACAC
rnacentral:rRNA from 1 species